GGCAUAUGGAUCCUGCAGUGGCCAUGCACACACUCCUUCCUCGACUCCUCAGAACACACAGCAAUGACAGCUGCCUAUUCUGGCUCUGUGGGCUGAGGCCAGGUCUGGGCCAGGGAAAGAUGGGUUUGGAUGAGGCUGAGGUUGGAAUCACCCUAAGAAGGUCCAAUGUUCAGCAGCACCCUUCCACCUCUGACCCCAUGUGUGGCUCACAGCCAAGCUGGCGCUGGUCUUCCUAAGCAUGCCAGUAACACUCAGUCUUUUUAAACCCAAUUUACUGGAGAUAUACUUGACCAACUGCGCUACCUUGGGGGCUUAGGAGCAGAGCCAUGGACAGCCCACACCUUUUCCUUUGCUCACCUCUAUGCACAGACAGGGCAGAAGGAAUUCAUAAGGCAGCUCUACAGUGUGGCCCCCAGACACAAUUUUCUGUGGAUGAAACAGCAAAGGAAGACAAAAGAUGCCUGAGAAAGAGCAUGGGCACAUAGACAAGGGCAGAACAGUGCUGGGAUCUUGGCCAACACACCCUGUUUUUCCUCUAAUAUGAGAUACUUCUUCUCCUGAUAAGUCUCUCAAAGGUUGUCUGCUUAGUAAUCUAAUCAUUAGCUCUAGGUGCUCUAGGUGGAGUUGGGGGGAAGGAGACAGGGAAUACAUUCCUUUAUUGAGGCCCUACUAUAUGCCAGGGAGUGUAGAGGGUGCUAGAAGUAUUAAAUCAAUUAACUCCAUGCUAGCAUCACAGUGAUCUUAUGAGGUAUCCUCACUGUUAUAAAAAUGAUAAGCUGAGGGCCUCAGGGGUUCAACAGCAGUCCCUGCAAAUGCUACCAACUGUAUACAAUGGCAUCCAUGACAAAGGGAGGUUGAGGUGGGAUGCUGGGGCCCAGGUUGGGAGAAUGGGAGACAUAUCACUCUCUGAGUGGCAGGAACAAAGGGAGGGAGAUGGAAGGGUACCAAGACAGAUGUGAUCAUUUUGUUAUGUUCUUAGGCGAUACAACCUCUUAGGGGAGCUGAAAAGGCUUUUUAAAUUUUUAAUUAACAAUUCUUUUUUCUUACUUGUCACUAACUUGAAGCUCAAGGAAAGGCUUCUUAAUGCCUGAAUCACACUGAGGAUCCUCUCAUUGGGGGUAAAUACCAUACUAAUCUCUCUGCUCAUUCAUGGUCAUUCAUGGCUGCUCCAGGUCUCUGCCUGCCUUUCCUGUUCUUCCCGGUGACAAGGCCGUCUGCCUUUUCUGUCUAGUCCAAAGAAGUCUUUAAAUUUAAUUUAAUUAAUUAAUUAAUUAAUUUAUUUAUUUAUUUUUAGCAGCAGGGUUUCACUAUGUUGCCCAAGCUGGUUUUAUACUCCUGGCUUCAAGCAAUCCUCCUGCUUUGGCCUCCCAAAGUGCUGGGACCACAGGUGUGAGCCACCAUGCCACGCCCAAAGAAGUCUUAAUGAUAGACCCUUCAGCUUGUAAGGAGGUCUUGGACAGUUACCAUCCCUCUCUGGGCCUCAGUUUCCUCAUUUGUACAAUGGGUGGCCUCUUUUGCUAGCACUGUGUGAUCGGGCUUUUUACAGGGGGAUGACACACCAUACCUGGACAUCAUAGGGACUGCUCAGCUCUUCACACUCCAGUGCCCACUGGUGACAAAGACGCACG
rnacentral:lncRNA from 10 species